AGCCCCAGCUAGACAGAAGGUGAGGAAGAUUGAAACAUAUUUCCAAUGAACAUCAAUACUUAAUAAACCAGGGGUCUUCAAGAUUUUCUUGCCCAGGCACCCACUCCCAGGUAAACCGGCGACCCAGGGACCCCUCCCAGGUAAACCGGCGACCAAGGGACCCCUCCCAGGCAAACCGGCGACCAAGGGACCCCUCCCAGGUAAACCGGCGACCAAGGGACCCCUCCCAGGUAAACCGGCGACCAAGGGACCCCUCCCAGGCAAACCGGCGACCCAGGGACCCCUCCCAGGCAAACCGGCGACCCAGGGACCCCUCCCAGGCAAACCGGCGACCCAGGGACCC